rnacentral:antisense_RNA from 1 species
CUCUAUGGCGGCUGUGCGCGGGAGACCUUCGGGUCUGCCGGUUUGGUUCAUGCCCGGUUCGCCAACCUGCGUACAGCUGCCACCCUA